rnacentral:rRNA from 1 species
GACGAACGCUGGCGGCGUGCUUAACACAUGCAAGUCGAACGAGUGGCGAACGGGUGAGUAACACGUGGGUGAUCUGCCUUUCACUUCGGGAUAAGCUUGGGAAACUGGGUCUAAUACCGGAUAGUGCAAGAUGAGCUUGCGGCCUAUCAGCUUGUUGGUGGGGUAAGGGCGACCAAGGCGCGACGGGUAGCCGGCCUGAGAGGGGGUACGGCGACAUGGGUACUGAGGGACGGAGCAGACGCCAACGGGAGGCAGCAGGGGGGAAGAUGGCAGAAUGGGCGGAAGCCUGAGGCAGCGACGCCGGGUGGGGGAUGAUGGCCUACUGGUGGUAAACACCUUUCGACAGGGAUGCGGUACCUGUAUAGGAAGCACCGGCUAACUACGUGCCAGCAGCCGCGGUAAUUC